rnacentral:tRNA from 1 species
GGACUUUUAGUAUAAGAAAGUAUGUUUAAUUGCAAAUUAAAUGGUUUGGGGGUCUU